rnacentral:rRNA from 1 species
AGGGCGAACGCUGGCGGCGUGCUUAACACAUGCAAGUCGAGCGGAAAGGCCCUUCGGGGUACUCGAGCGGCGAACGGGUGAGUAACACGUGAGUAAUCUGCCCCUAGCUCUGGGAUAGCUCCGGGAAACCGGGAUUAAUACCGGAUACGACCACCUUAGACAUCUUUUGUGGUGGAAAGAAUUUCGGCUAGGGAUGAGCUCGCGGCCUAUCAGCUUGUUGGUGGGGUAACGGCCUACCAAGGCGACGAC